rnacentral:misc_RNA from 1 species
CUUUUCUAUAUGUAAAUUCUUUAUACAAAGGGAACCCCAACCUCUAAACCAUAACCCCUCUGCAAAGAAUAUAUCUUUAUACCUAGUAACAUAAAAAAUGAACCAUGGGUUUCCUCAAGGAUGGGUAUGAUAGCCAUUAGUUUCUGAUUCAGGAACAGGUACAAUAGCCUUUUGCAUUUCAACAUUCAUCUCUUCUUUUAUCCCAUUCUCAUUGUCAUCCUCUUCAUCAGACUCCAACGAAAAAUGAGCUUGACUAUCGAUUUCCAAGUGUUGCGUCUCAGCUCCAAUAGGUCUAUACCGCAUAUGUUCACGGCCAAUGCCAUGUUUUUUACACACAAUUGAGUAUACAAAAGUAAUCACAGCCACAAGAAGAGCAAGGUGGCAAUUGAACUGAAGGGUAGCAAUAGCUCCACCUCGAUGGUACUGAGGAUGACCUUUACACUUAACCGUGUAAUUACCUCUACUCCUUUGAUGUAAAUAGCAUCCCUGUGCAAUCAAAUCGGAGAAAAAAGCAAACCCCAUUUGAAGAGUCCACGUCCCUUGCAAGAUUAACCCAAUCCCACGUCCUAAUCUAGUGUAAUUUGAUUUGGGAUUUUUCAAUUCUAGAAAUGAACAAAAUGCACAAAUAGCAAUAGGCACAAGCAAGAGAUUAUAGUAACGAUUUUCAACUCCACUUGGGUCUUUCCUUUGAAGAUAAAACAACAAAAAUUCCUCAGCAAAAGCGAAGAGGCAAAGCAAAUUGAGGAUCGGUGAAGGUAAAUGAAAAGAACUUUUCAAGCGGGUCAUGAGACCUAAUACCGAAUAGAGAAAGAAAAGAAGAGAAAUCGCGAUAACCUGCAAUUGAAGGACGGAACCAAUGUUGUCUUUGGAGUUGAGUGCGUCGAAAAAGGAUAACAAGGAAUCGAGAACGAAAAGGAACGAAAGGAUUAAGAUUAAUACAAAGGUGACCGAUGAAGAAAAAACAGAAUCUUGCUCAUGCUUAUCUGUUGAUGGAUUUUGUGGCGGCGAUUGGGUAGUGGACGACGGUGAUGAAUUUUUCAGGGCACCAGAAGAAGAGACCAGAGAUUCCCAAGCGCCGAUUAGUAUAAAUCCGCCGCCGGCGACAGUAUAGCUGAAUAGCCCCAUUGUUGACUUUGAUUAUCGUUAGAUCUCAAGAAAUUCUAUGUUAUAGAGAAG